rnacentral:rRNA from 1 species
UACGGAGGGAGCUAGCGUUGUUCGGAAUUACUGGGCGUAAAGCGCACGUAGGCGGCUUUGUAAGUUAGAGGUGAAAGCCCGGAGCUCAACUCCGGAACUGCCUUUUAGACUGCAUCGCUUGAAUCCAGGAGAGGUGAGUGGAAUUCCGAGUGUAGAGGUGAAAUUCGUAGAUAUUCGGAAGAACACCAGUGGCGAAGGACGGCUGCACAUGGAGCUUGGG